rnacentral:rRNA from 1 species
GACGAACGCUGGCGGCGUGCUUAACACAUGCCAGUCGAACGGAAAGGCCCUGCUUUUGUGGGGUGCUCGAGUGGCGAACGGGUGAGUACACGUGAGUAACCUGCCCUUGACUUUGGGAUAACUUCAGGAAACUGGGGCUAAUACCGGAUAGGAGCUCCUGCUGCAUGGUGGGGGUUGGAAAGUUUCGGCGGUUGGGGAUGGACUCGCGGCUUAUCAGCUUGUCGGUGGGGUAGUGGCUUACCAAGGCUUUGACGGGUAGCCGGCCUGAGAGGGUGACCGGCCACAUUGGGACUGAGAUACGGCCCAGACUCCUACGGGAGGCAGCAGUGGGGAAUAUUGCACAAUGGGCGGAAGCCUGAUGCAGCAACGCCGCGUGCGGGAUGACGGCCUUCGGGUUGUAAACCGCUUUCGCCUGUGACGAAGCGUGAGUGACGGUAAUGGGUAAAGAAGCACCGGCUAACUACGUG